rnacentral:rRNA from 1 species
GUGCCAGCAGCCGCGGUAAUACGUAGGGUGCAAGCGUUGUCCGGAAUUACUGGGCGUAAAGAGUUCGUAGGCGGUUUGUCGCGUCGUUUGUGAAAACCAGCAGCUCAACUGCUGGCUUGCAGGCGAUACGGGCAGACUUGAGUACUGCAGGGGAGACUGGAAUUCCUGGUGUAGUGGUGAAAUGCGCAGAUAUCAGGAGGAACACCGGUGGCGAAGGCGGGUCUCUGGGCAGUAACUGACGCUGAGGAACGAAAGCGUGGGUAGCGAACAGGGUUAGAUACCCUGGUAGUCCACGCCGUAAACGGUGGGCGCUAGGUGUGGGUUCCUUCCACGGAAUCCGUGCCGUAGCUAACGCAUUAAGCGCCCCGCCUGGGGAGUACGGCCGCAAGGCUAAAACUCAAAGGACUUGACGGGGGCCCGCACAAGCGGCGGAGCAUGUGGAUUAAUUCGAUGCAACGCGAAGAACCUUACCUGGGUUUGACAUAUACCGGAAAGCUGCAGAGAUGUGGCCCCCCUUGUGGUCGGUAUACAGGUGGUGCAUGGCUGUCGUCAGCUCGUGUCGUGAGAUGUUGGGUUAAGUCCCGCAACGAGCGCAACCCCUAUCUUAUGUUGCCAGCACGUUAUGGUGGGGACUCGUAAGAGACUGCCGGGGUCAACUCGGANGAAGGUGGGGACGACGUCAAGUCAUCAUGCCCCUUAUGUCCAGGGCUUCACACAUGCUACAAUGGCCAGUACAGAGGGCUGCGAGACCGUGAGGUGGAGCGAAUCCCUUAAAGCUGGUCUCAGUUCGGAUCGGGGUCUGCAACUCGACCCCGUGAAGUCGGANUCGCUAGUAAUCGCAGANCAGCAACGCUGCNGUGAAUACGUUCCCGGGNCUUG